rnacentral:rRNA from 1 species
UACGUAGGGUCCGAGCGUUGUCCGGAAUUACUGGGCGUAAAGCGCGCGCAGGCGGCCCGCGAGGUGUCACGUGAAAGCCCGGGGCUCAACCCCGGGUCGGCCGUGCGGACUGGCGUGCUCGAGCACUGUAGGGGCGGGUGGAAUUCCGGGUGUAGCGGUGGAAUGCGUAGAGAUCCGGAAGAACACCGGUGGCGAAGGCGGCCUGCUGGGCUAUGGCUGACACUGAGGCGCGACAGCGUGGGGAGCAAACAGG